AACGAACGCUGGCGGCGCGCCUAAUACAUGCAAGUCGAGCGAGAAGACGUAGCAAUACGUUUGUAAAGCGGCGAACGGGUGAGGAAUACAUGGGUAACCUACCCUCGAGUGGGGAAUAACUAGCCGAAAGGUUAGCUAAUACCGCGUACGCUCCUUGGACUUCGGUUCAGGGAGGAAAGCGAUACCGUGGGUAUCGCGCUCUUGGAUGGGCUCAUGUCCUAUCAGCUUGUUGGUGAGGUAACGGCUCACCAAGGCUUCGACGGGUAGCUGGUCUGAGAGGACGAUCAGCCACACUGGCACUGCGACACGGGCCAGACUCCUACGGGAGGCAGCAGUAAGGAAUAUUGCGCAAUGGGCGAAAGCCUGACGCAGCGACGCCGCGUGGGGGAGUGAAGGUCUUCGGAUUGUAAACCCCUUUCGGGUAGGGAAGAUGGAACGAGCAAUCGUUCGGACGGUACCUCCAGAAGCAGCCACGGCUAACUUCGUGCCAGCAGCCGCGGU
rnacentral:rRNA from 1 species